GAACCGAUGCUCUCAGAGAACUUGCAGUUAUACUGCCCUGGUAACCAUGACAUGGCUUCCGGCGCGGAGCAUGGUAUAUCUUACCUGGCGCGAUUCCCGUCGCCUUGGCAGUCCUCCGGCAGCUCCUCUCCGCUGUGGUACAGCAUCGACAUCGGCCCCAUGCAUCUCAU
rnacentral:SRP_RNA from 1 species